UCCCCUGUGGCUCAGUUGGUAGAGCAUGGUGUUUGCAACGCCAGGGUUGUGGGUGCGAUUCCCACGGGGGAC
rnacentral:tRNA from 1 species